rnacentral:rRNA from 1 species
GACGAACGCUGGCGGCGUGCCUAACACAUGCAAGUCGAACGAGCGAGAGAGAGCUUGCUUUCCCGAGCGAGUGGCGACCGGGUGAGUAACGCGUGAGGAACCUGCCUCACACAGGGGGACAACAGUUGGAAACGACUGCUAAUACCGCAUAAGCCCACGGCCCUGCAUCGAGCAGGGGGAAAAGGAGCAAUCCGCUUUGAGAUGGCCUCGCGUCCGAUUAGCUAGUUGGUAGGGUAACGGCCCACCAAGGCGACGAUCGGUAGCCGGACUGAGAGGUUGAACGGCCACAUUGGGACUGAGACACGGCCCAGACUCCUACGGGAGGCAGCAGUGGGGAAUAUUGCACAAUGGGGGAAACCCUGAUGCAGCGACGCCGCGUGAAGGAAGAAGGUCUUCGGAUUGUAAAGUCCUGUUGUCGGGGAAGAUAAUGACGGUACCGAGCGAAGAAGUGACGGCUAACUACGUG